rnacentral:rRNA from 1 species
AGUGAGCGCUGGCGGUAGGCCUAACACAUGCAAGUCGAACGGCAGCACAGUAAGAGCUUGCUCUUACGGGUGGCGAGUGGCGGACGGGUGAGGAAUACAUCGGAAUCUACUUUUUCGUGGGGGAUAACGUAGGGAAACUUACGCUAAUACCGCAUACGACCUACGGGUGAAAGCAGGGGAUCUUCGGACCUUGCGCGAUUGAAUGAGCCGAUGUCGGAUUAGCUAGUUGGCGGGGUAAAGGCCCACCAAGGCGACGAUCCGUAGCUGGCCUGAGAGGAUGAUCAGCCACACUGGAACUGAGACACGGUCCAGACUCCUACGGGAGGCAGCAGUGGGGAAUAUUGGACAAUGGGCGCAAGCCUGAUCCAGCCAUACCGCGUGGGUGAAGAAGGCCUUCGGGUUGUAAAGCCCUUUUGUUGGGAAAGAAAAGCAGCAGGUUAAUACCCCGCUGUUCUGACGGUACCCAAAGAAUAAGCACCGGCUAACUUCGUG